GACAACUUGUUUCGAGAAUUUAAAAUUAUUGAGGCUUUCAUUGCUGUCGGAAUACUUUUUUACAGCAUUGUUCUGAUAUAUAUUAGGUAACAAGCUAUUAUAUUAUAGGUAACAAUCAAUUGGAACUUGUUCGACACCUAAUAUUUUGCUCCUCUAUUAGGUAGUAAGGAGGUCAUGACUUGAGGUACAUUUGGUGGCAUUAUGUGCAAGUAGGUGUGUUUUGGGCUGAUUCAUAUGAGUUUGGUGAGUAAAAGGGAUGGUAUCUUUCUGGAUGCAUAGCAAUGAAACAUUAUUGAGCUGUGAUUUAUUAUCCUGCUGGUAGGCUAGCAAUUAGACUCCAUAAUCUCUUUCCACACUAGCCGAGCAAUCUUUUCUCAGAUGCCAAGUGCAGGCGUGGGACUUUCAUGUAAUCUUUUUCUAUUUCUUUUCUAAGAUAAUUAUUCUCCUUUUUCAAUCUUUUCUAAGUUGAAACCUCAUUAAAUUAAACAUGGUAGAAAAGCAUGUAACCAUCUCCCAAACUUCUCAAAGAUGGUUUAGGGGCCAGAAAAUGGUACGGUUCCUCUUGAGGAGUUCAAGUGGACCCUAUGAUAACUAGUCCCAUUGUAAUAUAUGUGCAUGCUUUCACGUAGGCUGUCCCACUUUACCAAGAUACCACCAAAACUAGCUCAGAUAAAAAUCCCAACUAAUAUAAUCAGAGCCUAUACUACAUCAAAUGCUUUGUUGUUGGUGGAGCUUCUGAGGCUUUAGCAUUAUAAUGGUGGAAAGAUGAGCAAUACUACUCUGACGUAUGACUUUUUCUUCCAGCUUCCUUUACAAAAGUGACUACCUCUGUGGGAGGUUGCUGUGCUACCAAGCCAUUAUUGCUUACCGACUCCACUUGGCUAUGGAUGUGACAGAAGGCUAUGCAGGAAUGUAUCAUGCAACAUUUGGAUGAUGCAUGAGGCAUGUAACCAUUGGCAGUGCUCUCUUUCUUUCGCAGAACCUGUGCUUUUUGAGCAGCACAAUCUACUCUUUGCUUUUAUUAUUUUCGCAGAAUCUUCGCCAUUCUUCUAUGGUGCCGAAUUACAGGAAGGUGCACAUCUUCAAACAGCGCAAGUGAGGACCAGGCUAUUAAUGAAAGCUUCUGGGCUGGAGAGGUUUAUCCCACUGAGUGGGGGAAGUGAAGCAUAGUUGCUAAGAUUUCAUUGUUACCUCGACCCAUACUGGAUGCUCUGCUGGUUUAAACUUCUAUCUACCAUCCUGCAAUGUCGCUGAUCUUACUUUAUCAUACUGCUUAGAGGUGAUCAAGUUGGAGGAUCAUAUCAGUAAUUUGCCUGAUAGUCUUAUUGUAACCAUCAUUUCUUUGCUGAGUACAAGGGAAGCAGUGAAAACACGUUUUAUCUAGAAGGUGGAGGAGCCUUUGGACAAACAUAAAGAACAUUUAUUUUGAUCUCUCCAACUUCCUCUCAGCCAUACUUCCCUGAAUUCUGUAUACCAGUUCAUGCAGCAGUAUCAGAGGGGACUUUGACAUGCUAAGAGUUUGCCAUUCCCUCUGCUCUUAACACUUGCAGUAUCUUGACCAAUGGGAUCAGUUACUGCUGGUCCAGCUCGUAUAGAACAUCUUUCCGUCAUGUUAGACUUUGAUUUUGCAUUUCAUGAGGGAAAGGGGACUUUGAUUCUGCUGCCAUGUUGCUAAUGUGAAGACUAGAUAUGCUGCCUCUAUAAAUCUCAAAAAUCUCAGGGCAGUUGGUUGGUUCUGGGGAAAUCAAAAUUGUUGAGCUCCAUGCUUUGAUUCUUGUAACUUUUGAAUAGUGUACUCCUUCAAUAGCCUUCUCAUUUCAAAGAGUUCCAGAAUUGUUGGAAUGUUAAUUGGCGUGAA